CCUACCAAUGGCAGCUGGUUUUAUAUACUGCCUCUUUAACUCCAUGUACUUCCUGCUUCUCAACAGCCAAUAGAACUCCCUUCACUUUGUUUCCCCAAUAGCCAAUCAAUUGCCUUCCCUCCCCAUAAAACCCCACGCCAUAAACAACCAGGAGCGACUUCUUUGGCCCCUUCCUGGACCACAGAACCUCGCCCAGGAGCCGAAUAAAUUAGCUUCUCAUUUUCUCAUACUUGCCUCAGUUUCCUCUUUUUACCUCAGCAAUAAACCUUACACA